AGCAGCCGCGGUAAUUCCAGCUCCAAUAGCGUAUAUUAAAGUUGUUGCAGUUAAAAAGCUCGUAGUUGAAUUUCGAGACCGGUUUACUGGUCGUGCUUUUGUACGUACUGGUAUUAUUGGUUUCUCCUUUCUGACGAACUAUAAUGCCAUUAAUUUGGUGUUUUAGGGAAUCAGGACUGUUACUUUGAAAAAAUUAGAGUGUUUAAAGCAGGCUCACGCUUGAAUACAUUAGCAUGGAAUAACGGAAUAGGACGUUUGAUUCUAUUUUGUUGGUUUCUAGGAUCGACGUAAUGAUUAAUAGGGAUAGUUGGGGGCAUUAGUAUUCAAUUGUCAGAGGUGAAAUUCUUGGAUUUAUUGAAGACUAACUACUGCGAAAGCAUUUGCCAAGGAUGUUUUCAUUAAUCAAGAACGAAAGUUAGGGGAUCGAAGACGAUCAGAUACCGUCGUAGUCUUAACCAUAAACUAUGCCGA
rnacentral:rRNA from 1 species